rnacentral:rRNA from 1 species
GUGGGGAAUCUUGCGCAAUGGGCGAAAGCCUGACGCAGCCAUGCCGCGUGAAUGAUGAAGGUCUUAGGAUUGUAAAAUUCUUUCACCGGGGACGAUAAUGACGGUACCCGGAGAAGAAGCCCCGGCUAACUUCGUGCCAGCAGCCGCGGUAAUACGAAGGGGGCUAGCGUUGCUCGGAAUUACUGGGCGCAAAGGGCGCGUAGGCGGACAGUUUAGUCAGAGGUGAAAGCCCAGGGCUCAACCUUGGAAUUGCCUUUGAUACUGGCUGUCUUGAGUACGGGAGAGGUGAGUGGAACUCCGAGUGUAGAGGUGAAAUUCGUAGAUAUUCGGAAGAACACCAGUGGCGAAGGCGACUCACUGGCCCGUUACUGACGCUGAGGCGCGAAAGCGUGGGGAGCAAACAGGAUUAGAUACCCCUGUAGUCC